rnacentral:rRNA from 1 species
UACGGGGGGAGCAAGCGUUGUUCGGAUUUACUGGGCGUAAGGGCGCGUAGGCGGCCACCGCAAGUCGACUGUGAAAUCUCCGGGCUUAACCCGGAAAGGUCAGCCGAUACUGCGGGGCUAGAGUGCAGAAGGGGCAACUGGAAUUCUCGGUGUAGCGGUGAAAUGCGUAGAUAUCGAGAGGAACACCUGCGGCGAAGGCGGGUUGCUGGGCUGACACUGACGCUGAUGCGCGAAAGCCAGGGGAGCAAACGGG